rnacentral:rRNA from 1 species
GACAGAGGGUGCAAACGUUGUUCGGAUUUACUGGGCGUAAAGCGCGUGUAGGCGGCUUUGCAAGUCGGAUGUGAAAGCCCACGGCUCAACCGUGGAAGUGCAUCCGAAACUGCAUGGCUUGAGUCUCGGAGAGGAUCGUGGAAUUCUCGGUGUAGAGGUGAAAUUCGUAGAUAUCGAGAGGAACACCGGUGGCGAAGGCGGCGAUCUGGACGAUGACUGACGCUGAGACGCGAAAGCGUGGGGAGCAAACAGG